rnacentral:tRNA from 1 species
GCGGCUGUGGCUCAGUGGUAGAGUACCUACCUUGCAUGAGUGAAGCACUGAGUUCGAACCUCAGCACCACA